GGAUCAUGCAGUCUCACUACUGAUAGAACCAGCAAUCAAACUUUGAACAGCUGUGAUCUGAAUAAUCUGAAAAACUUCAGCUCUCUGGAUUCACAGAUGAAUAGAAAGUUCAAAAGAUCAGAAUUUAUUUUAAACAUUAUAAAUGUCUUUACUGUCACUUUUGAUAAUUUUAAUGCAUCCUUGUUAAAGGCAUUCAUUUCUUUUAAAAAUGAAAAUAAAUAAAAAUACUGACCAAGCUUUAAAGAGCAGUGUACAUUUUGCUAUUAAUUAUAAUAAUCCAGUGAGAUUUUUGUAUGCUACAGAUAACAAUAGAAAGUAUGAUCCACACAUAGAUUUCACCAUCAUUAAGUCAG
ensembl:lncRNA